UUAGUUUCCAUUGUUUUUAUGGAACACAUGCGAUCAAGCCCUCUAGAAACAAUUUUCCUUUUCUUUGUUGUUUGUUUCCCAAUUCAGUAAUAGGAAGUGAUGUUGAGAUGCAGUGUUGCUUGACGUCACCAUUCAUGCCACUCCAUUCCUCGGAAACAGAAAGAAAUGAAGACAAAAUCCGGCAUAAUCAAUGCGACAGCAUUGAAAGAAACAGGCGGUCUCAUUUGUUGCUCUGCCAAAGCCAUGGACGAAGGUGGUUCUGUGCGGCGUGGGGUGGGCGGAGGUCUUACUUGCCGGCCUCUGCUUCCUCCUGCUCCACUACAUGAGGCAGCGCCACAAUGCCGUUGGCUGAGGUCCACAAUGCUGUUGGCUGAGGUCCACAAUGCCGUCGGCGGCACCUUCACUGCUUGUGGUCCCCUCCUCACCAGAAAGCGUCUCGUUCUCACCUGCGACCCCUGCAACGUGGAGUACAUCCUCGAGACCCGCUUCUCCAACUUCUCCAAAGGCCCAGACUUCCAAGACAUUUUCUGGGAGCUCAUGGGCGACAACAUCUUCAACAUCGAUGCCGAUGAGUGGCAGGCUCAGUGGCGCACCGCAAAUGCUCAUGUCCACUCGAAAUCCUUUUGAACAAUUUUUGAGAAAAAGAGUCGUGAGCUCACCUUCAUCAACUUGGUGCCUAUACUUCACAGAUCUGCUGAAGAGGGGGCGGUAGUCGACUUGCAAUACCUCAUGAUGCGAUACAUGGUGGACGCGACCUGUGCGGCCUUGUUCAAUGAGGCUAUCGGCUGCCUUGUGCCUGAGCUCCCACUCGUACGCUUUGCCCAGGCUGCAGAUGAGGUCAUGGAGGCGGUUGUGGUGAGGCACGUCCUGCCGCACAUGUGGUGGAAGCUGAUGCGUCGACUGGUACUUGGCAUGGAAUCUCGACUAGCCCAGGGCGUGCACACCAUGGAUGAGUUUGUGGCACGUCAGGUGAUGAGUGCACGAGGCAGAGGUAGCGGUUGCGGAGACCUGCUUUUGAUCUUUGCAAAGGGCGAUGUGUUCGGGACUGUUAACAAAUACCUGAGAGACGUUGCAGUGAACUUCUUGAUAACAUAGGGGGACACAACGGGGGCAGCCCUAACCUGGUUCUUUUGGCUCGUGAGCAGGCACCAUGAGGUCGAGGCCAAGUUCUUAGAUGAGCUUAAGGAGAAGGGUACCGAGGACCUGAGCGAGCUCCACUACCUCCACGCCGCCUAAUCCAAGACUCUACAUCUCUACCCCUCGCUACCAUUAGACCACAAGGGAGUUCGAGAAAAGGAUGUUUUACAGGACAACACCACUGUGGAACCAGGGACAAUAAUCGUAUACAAUAUCUACCCCAUGGGAAGGAUGGAGUGGGUUGAUCGUGAAUCCUUCAACAAGUGGAUAUGGGGAGAAGACUGCAGAUUUAAGCCAGAGAGGUGGCUUGGAGAAGAUGGAAAGCUCAGAUCAGAGAGCGGUUUCAAAUUUCUGCCCUUCAAUGGAGGGCCGAGGACCUGCCUUGAAAAGGAGGUGGCCUUUGUGCAGAUGAAAUAUCUCGAG